CCGGCGGCUGCGGCGCCAAGGGCCGGCUUCGUCAAGGCAUCGUCACUGCUGGCCCUUUUCAGCUACAAACACACGCGUCAGAUGAUCCUCAGGACUUCUCGGGGCAAUAUCCUGUGACUAACUCCUGCCUGAGUGGGCCGUCCAACAACGCCUCAGCAGUGACGUCUCACCUCGUCUCAGUGAAGGAAGAAAGAACCAGAGGGAGGAAUGGAUUGCCAUCAUGUGACACAAACGAGAGCGAUGAAUUUUAUUCUGAAAAGAUUCAACUAUCGAGAAGGAAGAUCAAUCACAAUAUUUUUUUAAAUGACAAGUUUUACUAACGAAUUCUGCAACUCCAAUCUAUUUAUAACAAUAUUGUAUUUUGUUUUGUUUCCACACCAGGUUGUGUGGGCAGAAACGGCAGCGACUGGCACUGACAAAGCCCAUCUGUGUCUCAGAAAGCCUCAGUAAUAUGAGGGUGGAUCAUUUGUGGCCUGGCUGACAGUCAGAAUUUAUGUUCUUCAGUAAUGGUCUCAUUUUGAUCCCACAACAUGCAGCUUGCCAAGGAUGUAGAGCAUGUGGGUCGAAAGUGAACUGCAUUCGGGUCUGGGAUUAAACGGGCUUCAGUUUGUGGCCAGUGGUUAACAGAGGAACUCAAUCUGACCGCACCCCUUCGCAAGCAACAGGCUGCCUUUUAAAGUGUUGCAGCUAGACUUGAGAAAGACUGCAGAUUGCUUUUAAGGCAUUGCACACUCCCACGUCCUGUUGCAGAGACUGAUUUUUUUCAGUGUGGUUUAAUCUCAGUAUAAAUGUAGAAGUUCUGCUUCAGAGGUUUAGGGGGUUUUCAUACUUCAUAGUCUGGUGGACUCGGUUUGAUCUGGGACCAAAAUUCAAACAUUUGUUACAUUUUUAGCUGGUAUGGUUCUCUUUCACACUGCACUGUGUCAAAUAAACCAAACUCUUUCAGAAACCUAUUCCCCUCCUCACCUAUGGUGGCGCUGCAACAAGAGUGACAUAAGGAAAUGACAGGAAAACAUCUAAAGACGACAGCUUCCUUCACAAAAACAAAAACGGACUUUUAGCAGUUGUAGGAUUUCCCUUUCUCCCUCCAAUGUUAGACUCAGAUUACAUUUGUUUUGUUUGUAUUAACCCGGAAUACCCUGCGCUAUAGUUCGCUUCCUGCUUUUGAGGCGGUCUCCUGUUCAACUGGCGUUCACAUUCAACUGAGCUAGGUUUUUAUUCAAACCAGAGUUCACUUUUUUCCCAGAGAUCAAUUGCACCUUCACACCUCCCCAAACGAGCCGGACUUUCUAGGCAAACAAACAAGAGUUCAAUCAAAGUGGACCAAACAGGGCUGGUGAGAAUGCAUCCGUAGAGAACAAACGGCAUCAUGAAGAGCAUGGUGAAAAGCUUAAAGCAGAGUUAGGUUGCAAAACACUUUCCCAAGCUGAAGUUUGGUCUCAGAGCACAAGCCAUCAUUCAAACAUGGAAAAAGUAUUGCACAACUUGAAUCCACCAACAUAUGGUCAUUCACUUAAACCAACAAGCCGGGCAGGAAGAUAAUUAAUCUAGAGAAAAAGCCAAGAGAUCCGUAGUAACUUUGGAGGAGCUGCAGAGUUUUACAGAUCAGGAGAAUUUGCAGACGGGAAAAUUAUUAGUCACCCAAAUAAAUGGCCUUGUGCAAGAAAGGACAGAAAGAAGAGACCCUCCAAAUGUUUACUAGAAAGACGUAUACCCUCCGGAUAAUUUCCCUUCCCUUUUACGCAUUUUUGUUUUGAUCUUGCAAAUAAAAUCCUAACACAACUA